AAUAAGCGCACAUGGUGGAUGCCUUGGCGAUAAGAGGCGAUGAAGGGCGUAGAAGUCUGCGAUAAGCGUAGGUUAGCUGACAAACGAGCUAUAACCCUGCGAUUCCCGAAUGGGGCAACCCACUUACCUUUUGGUAAGUAUCCUUAAGUGAAUACAUAGCUUAAGGAGGCGAACCCGGCGAACUGAAACAUCUAAGUAGCCGGAGGAAAAGAAAUCAACCGAGAUUUUCCUAGUAGCGGCGAGCGAACGGGAAACAGCCUGCAAGUGAUAUUUAACGUUUUAGUGGAACAGUCUGGAAAGUCUGACGAUACAGGGUGAUAGUCCCGUACACGAAAAGGCGUUAUUGGUACUAAGCUUGCGACAAGUAGGGCGGGGCACGAGAAACCUUGUCUGAACAUGGGGGGACCAUCCUCCAAGGCUAAAUACUCCUGACUGACCGAUAGUGAACCAGUACCGUGAGGGAAAGGCGAAAAGAACCCCUGUGAGGGGAGUGAAAUAGAACCUGAAACCGUAUACGUACAAGCAGUGGGAGCCCUUCGGGGUGACUGCGUACCUUUUGUAUAAUGGGUCAGCGACUUAUAUUUAGUAGCAAGGUUAAGUGAAUAACGGAGCCGUAGCGAAAGCGAGUGUUAACUGCGCGUUUAGUUGCUAGGUAUAGACCCGAAACCCGGUGAUCUAGCCAUGAGCAGGUUGAAGGUUGAGUAACAUCAACUGGAGGACCGAACCCACUAACUUUGAAAAGUUAGGGGAUGACUUGUGGCUGGGGGUGAAAGGCCAAUCAAACCGGGAGAUAGCUGGUUCUCCCCGAAAUCUAUUUAGGUAGAGCCUCGGACGAAUUCCAUUGGGGGUAGAGCACUGUUAAGGCUAGGGGGUCAUCCCGACUUACCAACCCUUUGCAAACUCCGAAUACCAAUGAGAACUAUCCGGGAGACACACGGCGGGUGCUAACGUCCGUCGUGGAGAGGGAAACAACCCAGACCGCCAGCUAAGGUCCCCAAGUACCAGUUAAGUGGGAAACGAUGUGGGAAGGCUCAGACAGCUAGGAGGUUGGCUUAGAAGCAGCCAUCCUUUAAAGAAAGCGUAAUAGCUCACUGGUCGAGUCGGCCCGCGCGGAAGAUGUAACGGGGCUAAGCGAUAUACCGAAGCUGCGGAUGCAUGUUUACAUGCAUGGUAGGGGAGCGUUCUGUACGUCUGUGAAGGUGAGUCGUAAGGCUUGCUGGAGAUAUCAGAAGUGCGAAUGCUGACGUGAGUAACGAUAAUGCGGGUGAAAAACCCGCACGCCGGAAGACCAAGGGUUCCUGCGCAACGCUAAUCGGCGCAGGGUGAGUCGGCCCCUAAGGCGAGACCGAAAGGUGUAGUCGAUGGGAAACGGGUUAAUAUUCCCGUACC
rnacentral:rRNA from 1 species